rnacentral:piRNA from 1 species
UCCACAUGGUGUCACGAGUAGGUGCCAGU